AGAGUUUGAUCAUGGCUCAGGAUGAACGCUAGCGACAGGCUUAACACAUGCAAGUCGAGGGGCAGCGGUGGUGAAGGCUUGCCUUUACCAGCCGGCGACCGGCGCACGGGUGAGUAACACGUAUGCAACCUGCCUGCCACAGCCGGAUAAUCGGGAGAAAUUCCGUCUAAUACGGCAUAAUGCAUCGACGGGACAUCCUGUUGGUGCCAAAGGUUGAUUCCGGUGGCGGAUGGGCAUGCGUCGCAUUAGUUAGUUGGCGGUGUAACGGACCACCAAGACGACGAUGCGUAGGGGUUCUGAGAGGAAGGUCCCCCACACUGGUACUGAGACACGGACCAGACUCCUACGGGAGGCAGCAGUGAGGAAUAUUGGUCAAUGGGCGGGAGCCUGAACCAGCCAAGUCGCGUGAGGGAUGACGGCCCUAUGGGUUGUAAACCUCUUUUGCCGGGGAGCAAAGUGCCGCACGUGUGCGGUUUGGAGAGUACCCGGAGAAAAAGCAUCGGCUAACUCCGUGCCAGCAGCCGCGGUAAUACGGAGGAUGCGAGCGUUAUCCGGAUUUAUUGGGUUUAAAGGGUGCGUAGGCGGACGCUUAAGUCAGCGGUAAAAUUGCGGGGCUCAACCUCGUCGAGCCGUUGAAACUGGGUGCCUUGAGUGGGCGAGAAGUACGCGGAAUGCGUGGUGUAGCGGUGAAAUGCAUAGAUAUCACGCAGAACUCCGAUUGCGAAGGCAGCGUACCGGCGCCCUACUGACGCUGAAGCACGAAGGCGUGGGUAUCGAACAGGAUUAGAUACCCUGGUAGUCCACGCAGUAAACGAUGAAUGCUAGUUGUCCGGGGCGAUUGAGUUCUGGGUGACACAGCGAAAGCGUUAAGCAUUCCACCUGGGGAGUACGCCGGCAACGGUGAAACUCCAAGGAAUUGACGGGGGCCCGCACAAGCGGAGGAACAUGUGGUUUAAUUCGAUGAUACGCGAGGAACCUUACCCGGGCUCAAACGCAGGAGGGAUGUUUUUGAAAGGAGGCAGCCAGCAAUGGUCUCCUGCGAGGUGCUGCAUGGUUGUCGUCAGCUCGUGCCGUGAGGUGUCGGCUUAAGUGCCAUAACGAGCACAACCCCUACCUACAGUUGCCAUCGCGUGAUGGCGGGCACUCUGUGGGGACUGCCUGCGCAAGCAGUGAGGAAGGCGGGGAUGACGUCAAAUCAGCACGGCCCUUACGUCCGGGGCGACACACGUGUUACAAUGGCAGGUACAGCGGGAAGCCACCCGGCGACGGGGCGCGGAACCCGAAAACCUGUCUCAGUUCGGAUUGGAGUCUGCAACCCGACUCCAUGAAGCUGGAUUCGCUAGUAAUCGCGCAUCAGCCACGGCGCGGUGAAUACGUUCCCGGGCCUUGUACACACCGCCCGUC
rnacentral:rRNA from 1 species